CUACGGUAUCUACGACGUCACUUACAUACCGCCCAUAGCAUCCAAAUACUGUACGCGACAAGGGUCCGGCUGCAGGUCGCAGACUUGGCCUUCCACGCCCCCUGCCUUGCACAGUCCGCCCCACAACCGCCCACAGUCCGUAGAAGGAGAAGAACUGCUGUACAGUUUUUUUAGUUCGAAAAAGAAAAGGAGCUGAAAACGUUUUCCGACACGGAACAAUGGCACAGCAGAACCACAUAUGGACUCAAAGAAUAAAAGGCUCAGUAUAUUUAAAGAAACUUUAGAUCCAUUAAACAAAAUUAAUGAGAUGUACGAUUAUAUACUGUAUAGCGAAUCCAAGUGUUCUCUGUUUAUCGUCAUUACUGACCUAUCCUAUUUUAAGCAUAUCGUUUUAAUCUACCUCUUAUAUUACUUCUUUUUAAUAUUUGCCAUAUUAUUUCAUCAGUAUUAACUUUUUCACUUAUUUAUGAGAUGUUAUGUAGAGAAUCUGCAAUGUUAGUGUACAAUAUGAAAGGUAUUUAUGUUUAUCGUCGUCAUUAACGUUUGUUAAAUAUCUUAUUAACAUGAUUUUUCUGUAGUUAUUUAUAAAAGCGCAUUAGUGCUUUCUGCCAAAUUAGUAUUACAUAUUAUUUUUGUCUUGAUUUCCACAGUCACAUUUCUCCAUAAAGGCAGAGAAUAUAAAAACAACUUUGAUUACAUCGAUUAAAUAUCCAAAUGAAUCCAAGUGCCCUCUUCGUAAAAAGCAAAGAGACUACAGCAUCCUGCUGCCUGCCCUCAGAGUCACGAAGGCCACAUUGUCAAGUAUGCAGGUUUCCAAAGGACCAUCUCUGUAUUUCAUCCUCGAGGCUCCCUUCAGUUUUAACGAGUCCUCUUUAGAAUGACAUGCCGGCUUUGAGGAAGUGUUGGUGUAGAAGGUUACUUGAGAACUCCAGCACCAAGGGUAAAACGUAUUACAGCAACAGGGAAUCCUUCAGCAUUUUACCGAGGCUGAGAACAUUUCUGUGUUCAGGGGGCGAGUCUCACUCCCUGCAUUACUGUCAAAGGACAAAGACGACAUUGAGGAGGCCCUUCAGAAAUUGGAUUUGCUAGCUGAAUUUCCAGAAGAAGAGGAGAGGGAAUAUGUCUUUAGACCCUUCGUCAUCCAUUUUUCACAUAUGGAAGACAUGCAGCUGUUUUUAGAUAAUGUGAGAGAAAAAAGGAAAAUGACUGUUUUGUGAGAAAAUGUAACCAACAUACAUGUCCCUUAUUGUUCAGUUACAACCUACAAUUCUUGUUCUAUAUUUUAUAUAUUCUUUAGCUUUUUUGUAAUAAAUGUU